AAAAAUUAGUCAGCCCUGUUGUUCAUAAAACUUUCCAUGAUGCCACUUCAGAUGGAAUUUCUACUGAUUUAUGAGAGAACAGGAUAAUUUGACGAUUAUUUACCCCAUGUUCUUAGAUUCUAUAGAACUCUUAAUUUGCAUUUAAUUUAUUCUAGCGCUUAAUGAUUGUUUGUGAUUUGGUAUGUUUAAUUUCUUUCAAGUAAUGGUAGAUGCUACCGGCUAUUUCUUUCAGAGUGCAACUUUUGUUUCUAUUUUACAAUUUUCUUUUGAGUAUUUAUCGACCAAGCGCUUCAAUGCUUUAUAUGUUUGUAAUACUUUUGAUAAGGGAUCCGAUUAUUUUCUAGCAUGCAAAAUAUGAAACCUGAUCACACAAGAGAUAUGCAUGCCAUCAUAUUUGGUUUUCUUGUUAUGCAAUUUGUUUUUGUUAUCACUAAAAUGCAACAUAAAUUGGCACUUUGGCAGAAAACUUAAUUGCAUAUAUUUUUUCACAGCUACCCAAAUGAAAAUUAUCAAUAAUUUGGGAACUCAAAUUUUUAGUCAAAAUUCUGACAUUGUCAAAAUGCAAUAGAAUGUUCCUUUCUAUACUAAUUAGUUCCUUGUAAAGAUGUGAAAAGACACCACUAUGAUCUUACUUAUUUGAGGUUGAUUAGUCGAAUAAUUUGAUAAAUGGUCAUAUUAAAUUGUUGGUAUCGCAUUAUAUGGUCAUCUAUGUCUCACUCUUCGACUUUAUGUCCAUAGAUUAUUUUCACAAAUGUGGGCA
rnacentral:misc_RNA from 1 species